UACGUAGGGUGCGAGCGUUGUCCGGAAUUAUUGGGCGUAAAGAGCUCGUAGGCGGCUUGUCGCGUCGGAUGUGAAAGCCCGGGGCUUAACCCCGGGUCUGCAUUCGAUACGGGCAGACUAGAGUUCGGCAGGGGAGACUGGAAUUCCUGGUGUAGCGGUGAAAUGCGCAGAUAUCAGGAGGAACACCGGUGGCGAAGGCGGGUCUCUGGGCCGAUACUGACGCUGAGGAGCGAAAGCGUGGGGAGCGAACAGG
rnacentral:rRNA from 1 species